ACAACAUUUGGACCGUCCGUCUACCGAGCAAAUAUCACCCGCUCGGUGGAAGAUCUUCUGUCCAUCGU
rnacentral:pre_miRNA from 1 species